rnacentral:rRNA from 1 species
UACGAAGGGGGCUAGCGUUGCUCGGAUUGACUGGGCGUAAAGAGCGUGUAGGCGGUCCGGUAAGUCCGCUGUGAAAGUCGGGGGCUCAACCCUCGAAUGCCGGUGGAUACUGUCGGGCUAGAGUGCGGAAGAGGCGAGUGGAAUUCCUGGUGUAGCGGUGAAAUGCGCAGAUAUCAGGAGGAACACCUAUUGCGAAGGCAGCUCGCUGGGACGUAACUGACGCUGAGACGCGAAAGCGUGGGGAGCAAACAGG